rnacentral:tRNA from 1 species
GGCCAGUUCGCUGAGUUGGUUGAGCAUGGUGCUGAUAACACCAAGGUUGCGGGUUCGGUUCCUGUUCAGUCCC